AGCUUUUUAGCAUAUUAGUUUAGUCAAGACUAUCCCACAUAAAUGGAACAUGUCUAUCAGACAGCAUGUUGAAGACGUAUAUAAAUUGCAUGGAAGCCGCAGGAUGCCACGGCAUUGAUGUGAAUUUCGCCAAAGCAA